AGUCCAGACUCGUGAAGAUGAAGAGGAGAUCACUUACGCCGAAACAACAUUCUACAAAAGAAAAGCACAGAAACCGAAUGUUAAAGAGGAGGAGGAUGUGGUGUACGCAGGUGUUGUCACUAGAAGAUGACCAAUCUUCACACAAUUGUACCAGAUCGAGCUGAAGUAUUUGAGUUUUGAGAUUGGUGAGAUUAAAUUAGCACUCUAUUAGCAACAAAUGCAAAUCAAAAUUGGAAAAAUGUUGAAAACCACAGGGAGAUCUAAAACUGCUCUCUUGUUGACAAGCAAGGUUGUUCCCCCAGGGUGCAUUUUGUCAAGUGACCAGAUAUCCAGUGCUCAGUCAAUAAGCAGCAGUAAACAUCUGUCUGCUCAGUUCAUGGCAGAGCUUGGGAUGCCAGACCAGGAUUAAGAACCACAGGCUAAAAUGAUGAGCAAACCACAUGUUUUCACAUUGUUUUAACCAGUUUCUCAAUAUAUGGUAGUGAGCAGAUUUGCCUAGGAUCCUGGAGUUCAACAUCUUUAGAGGCCCCCUGGUAUUUUGUGAGCCAAAAUGAAUAAAUUAUUUUUGUACAAAGGUGUGCAGGAGCUUGUGUCUAUUACUGGACAGCUGUGGUUCAUGUCAGUUUGUGUGUGUUUGUCUUAAUGCGUCAAUAGCUUGUGGUUUAAGUAUGUGUGUUUUUUUUUCCCAUUCCGGUCUGUAUGAUGUUCACAGUUUGACUUCUGCUUUAAACAAAACCAGUUUACUCAAAUACUGAGUUAAUACAUUUUAAUGUUUUACCAAAAAAAUAACUUUGAUAUUACUGUGAAAUAUGAAAACAUCACAUACGUUAUGCAAUAUGAACAAAAAAACCUUGACCCCAGUGGUAGAUCCAUUGGUUAUUUUUCUCUAUUUCUAAAAUGACAAUGUAUGACUUCAUGUUGUGGUUAUUGAUCAUUUAUUUUAUUUUCAUCCGUUUUCAUGAGUAAAUAAGAAGAAAUAUCAUAACACGCAAACUAAAGCUUUUAGUAGAAUAACAGUGCUACAGUACAAAAGGCACAGCACAACAACUUUUCUCAAAAUAGUUUAAGACCGUUAUCUGUUCUGUGCGAGAUGAGUAUGGCCUAAAGUGUAAAAAAUAAAUCAAGCGAAAUUCAACUCAAAAGUGCAAA